GCAGCCACUUAGAUUCCUGGAGAGCAUUACACAUAAGUCUCAUCCCAGGCCUCCAGCCACAGCAACCACACGACUCAUUUCCCCUGGGACUGAGGCUGCAUACCUGGGCUCCCCACGGAGGGGGAUGAUGCAGGGAGGGGAAUCCCACCUGCUGUGAGUCACCUGCUAGUAUAAAGGGCGGGUCUUCCAAUGCAGGGAUCUUAAAAAGAGACUCAGACAAGGGGAGAAAAUCUACAGGAAGCAGCUCAGAAACUUGGUGCACAACAGAGGGAACCAAACCAGAGACACACCAGAACAGAGAGAAUCAGGCUCAGAGCAAGGGGAAGUGAAUAGAGAUUCCACAGGGACUGCAAGGCACGGAGCCAGCCAGAUUUGAGAAGCAGGCAACAAGAUGUUGGGAAGCAGAGCUGUGAUGCUGCUGCUGCUGGUGCUGCCCUGGACCACUCAGGGCCGGGCUGUGCCGGAGGGCAACAGCCCUGCCUGGGUUCAGGGCCAGCAGCUCUCACAGCAGCUCUGCAUGCUGGCCUGGAGUGCACAUCUGCCAAUGGGACAUGUGGAUCUACCAAGAGAAGAGGGAGAAGAUGAAACUACAAAUGGUGUCCCCCAUAUCCAGUGUGGGGAUGGCUGUGAUCCCCAAGGACUCAGGGACAACAGUCAGGUACUAAGAUGAGGCUGAGCCACAAGGAAGAGGGGACUGGGGACAGAACUGGACACCGUGGUGAAUUUGUAAAAGUUGUAUUUGUCCUUGUCCAUUCAGCCUUCCAUAACCACCAACCACAGACAGGGUAAUUUAUAAACAAGAGACAUUUAUUUCUCACAGUUCUAGAGACUGAAAGUCUGAGAUCAGGGUACCUGCAUGGCUGAGUGAGAGCCCUCUUCCAGGUUGCAGACUUCAUGUAUCCUCACGUUGUGGAAGGGAU